CUCCAUCACAGUAAAAAGGGAAUUACCGGUAUUUGUCAUGUUUAUCCUUUCUUAAACUUUACAUUACCCUUUAUGGUAAAAAUCUAUAGAACUUAUGUACUAGAAAAUAUAAAAAAGGUGUCAGCCUUCUAACCUCAUUGUUGUUCCAUGAAUAACUUUAUUGAAUAAGUUUUGUCUAUUUGUGCACUUGUAAAAUUAGGGGAUUUUUAUACUCCUAAACCCUGUAGCAGCCUAUAGCCUAUUGAGCCUAAUGUAGAAAUCAGAGAUUAGACGGAGGAGAUUGGCGGAAUAUAACAUCUGACAUUAUUAGGAAUACUAAGACAUCUGUUCAGUGAGAUUUCCUAGCUGUGUAUUUACUGUCUUUUCUAUAAAUUUGUGAAAACAUCAAAUCCUUUUGAUGUUCUAAUAAUGGUCCAUUUUCAUCAAGUGAUAAAGUCAUAAAUGCAUAUAAGCCAAAAUCCUUUAGAAUAUAUGCAUACAUAAAUUAUCACACUGGCGGGGUUCUGCAUUAAGUAUGUUUUCUCAUGAUAAAAUAGUCAAGUCUAAAAUCCAUUUAAAUUUCUUGUGUUAAAGCAAAAUAGGUAAAGAAACAGGUAUCAGUUAUUGAAAGAUAUACAUUCUUUUUAUUUUCAGUACAGGAUCGAAAAUUCCCAGUUUCUACGUCUUUGCGCUGAAGUUAAUCCACCUUUUUGUACAUUUUUUUAAGUUUGUUAUAAUGACUUUGUCACUG
rnacentral:lncRNA from 1 species